rnacentral:lncRNA from 1 species
GCCAAGGAAGGGUUAACCAGCCAAGUUCCAGGCUAACACAGGAGAUUAUAGAAUGUUUAUCUAGUAUUCAGAUUUCCUGUUUAAAUGUUUGGAUUUCCUGAAAUCUAUCAGUCUGAAGGGUGUCCAGUACGUGGCCUUUUCCGCCCCUUCUUUUCAGCUCACAUGGGUGGACUUCCCUUCCCAACUGUAUUUCUGUCUCCUCACCAGCCAAGAUUUUCAUGGAUGAAAAUCAAAACGUUUUAGGCACCCCCAGAAAAUAUUUCUGGAUCCCUGGCCUUUGGGAUGUGCUUUGUUUUAAUCUAGCGAGCAAAUAAUCACAACAAAAAUUCCUGGGAAUUUCCUAUUGGUGCAACGUGCCUUUUUUUUUUCCCCUUUUCUCUCUUUUUUUUCCCAGCUCCGUGUUGGAAAAUAAUUUUAGCCCUUUCAAGACAAUGGAAUGAUGGCCUUCCUUUUGGCAUGCUCUUCUGGAAUGGGACUUCAAACAGGACGAGUCUUGGUAAUUUUCUUCUGUUGAGACAUGAGAUCUUCAGCUUCCAGAUUGUCCAGCUUCUCUUCAAGGGAUUCAUUAUGGAAUCGGAUCAUGCCGGACCAGAUCACUGUGUCGGAGUUUAUUGUUGAGACCACGGAAGAUUACAAUUCCCCAACGACCUCCAGUUUUACCACCCGGCUACAGAACUGCAGGAACACCGUCACGCUGCUAGAAGAGGCUUUAGAUCAGGACAGAACUGCACUACAAAAAGUGAAAAAAUCUGUAAAAGCAAUAUAUAACUCUGGGCAAGAACAUAUCCAAAAUGAAGAAAGCUAUGCACAAGUACUAGAUAAAUUUGGAAGUAAUUUCUUAAGUAGAGAUAAUCCAGACCUGGGAACUGCUUUUGUAAAGUUUUCCACGCUAACUAAGGAAUUGUCAACACUGCUUAAAAAUCUGCUACAAGGGUUGAGCCAUAAUGUUAUCUUCACCUUGGAUUCCCUGUUGAAAGGAGAUCUGAAAGGAAUUAAAGGGGAUCUGAAAAAGCCUUUCGAUAAAGCCUGGAAGGAUUAUGAGACCAAAUUCACGAAGAUUGAAAAGGAAAAAAGGGAACACGCCAAACAACAUGGGAUGAUACGAACAGAGAUCACUGGAGCUGAGAUAGCAGAAGAAAUGGAGAAAGAGAGAAGGUUGUUUCAGCUCCAGAUGUGUGAAUAUCUCAUUAAGGUUAAUGAAAUCAAGACGAAAAAGGGUGUGGACCUUUUACAGAAUCUUAUUAAGUAUUAUCAUGCACAAUGCAAUUUCUUUCAAGAUGGCUUGAAGACAGCUGAUAAACUCAAACAGUACAUUGAAAAGCUAGCUGCUGAUUUAUAUAACAUAAAACAGACACAAGAUGAAGAAAAGAAGCAACUUACUGCAUUGAGGGACUUGAUAAAAUCCUCUUUGCAACUUGACCAAAAAGAGGAUUCACAGAGCCGGCAAGGAGGUUACAGCAUGCAUCAACUUCAGGGAAAUAAAGAGUUUGGCAGUGAGAAGAAAGGAUACCUUUUAAAGAAAAGCGAUGGCAUACGGAAAGUUUGGCAGAGAAGAAAAUGCACAGUUAAAAAUGGCAUCCUGACCAUUUCACAUGCAACUUCAAACAGGCAACCUGCUAAAUUAAAUCUGCUUACAUGCCAAGUGAAACCAAACGCUGAAGACAAGAAAUCAUUUGACCUGAUAUCACAUAACAGAACAUAUCACUUUCAGGCAGAGGAUGAGCAAGAUUAUGUCGCGUGGAUAUCAGUACUGACCAACAGCAAAGAAGAAGCUUUAAAUAUGAGAUUGGCUGGAAAUGAUGUCUGUUGUGACUGCGGAUCACCAGAUCCAACUUGGCUUUCUACUAACCUGGGCAUUUUAACCUGUAUAGAGUGUUCCGGAAUACACAGAGAAAUGGGUGUUCAUAUUUCUCGAAUCCAAUCUCUAGAACUGGACAAGUUAGGAACAUCUGAACUCUUGCUGGCCAAGAAUAUAGGAAAUAAUAGUUUUAAUGACAUUAUGGAGGGAAACUUACCGACUCCGUCUCCAAAACCCACUCCAUCGAGUGAUAUGACUGCCCGCAAAGAAUUUAUUACUGCUAAAUAUGUAGAUCAUAAGUACUCCAGAAAGACCUGUGCAUCAUCAGCGGCUAAACUGAAUGAACUACUAGAGGCUGUUCGAUCCAGGGAUUUACUUGCACUACUUCAAGUCUAUGCAGAAGGAGUUGAACUGAUGGAGCCACUCUUAGAACCUGGACAGGAGCCAGGCGAAACUGCUCUUCAUUUAGCAGUCCGAACUGCUGAUCACACAUCACUCCAUCUGAUCGACUUCCUUGUACAAAACUGUGGAAACCUGGAUAAGCAAACCGUGUUGGGGAAUACAGUUCUACAUUAUUGCAGUAUAUAUAACAAACCAGAGUGUUUGAAGUUGGUUUUGAAGGGGAAGCCAACUUUGCAUAUAGCUGGAGAAACUGCCCUGGACACGGCAAAGAGACUGAAAGCUCUUCCGUGUGAAGAUUUGCUUUCCCAGGCCAAAGUGGGGAAACUAAAUCCACACGUUCACGUCGAAUACGAGUGGAACCUUCGGCAGGAAGAAAUGGAUGAAAGUGACGAUGACUUAGAUGACAAGCCUAGUCCGAUUAAGAAAGAACGUUCCCCAAGACCGCAGAGUUUUUGUCAUUCUUCCAGUAUUUCUCCUCAAGACAAAAUGGCUGUUCCCGGCCUUGGCACUCCACGAGACAAGCAGAGACUCUCCUAUGGCGCCUUCCCACAUCAGAUUUUUGUCUCUGCCAGCAUCGACUCUGCCACUUCACCAACAACUGUAGAUGGGCCCCCACUUCCUCCAAGAAAUGCUGGAAAAGGUAUUUGUUUGGCACUGUUCACCGGGACUGCUAAGACUGCUCUGGGCCCAAGAGUGCUUCCCAAACUACCUCAAAAAGUGGCGUUACGAAAAAUAGAAACAAUUCAUCUUCCUUCGGUAGACAAAUCCAGCCACCACUCUGAGAUCUUUCAAAAGUCGGCUUCUCUUUGUAUCGAUCUGCCCCUGAAGCCCCAGCCUGCAGAUUUAGCCCCCAAACCAGGAGAAUUACCCCCCAAACCCCAACUGGGGGACCUGCCCCCAAAGCCCCAAUUAGCCGACUUGCCUCCAAAACCCCAAAUGAAGGAUCUCCCUCCAAAGCCACAACUGGGAGAAACUUUGGCGAAAUCUCCCGGCGGGGAAUUAUCCCUAGAUCUCAAGAUUAUCCAGAAACAAGCAUCUGAAGACUCUGGAGAUACGACCCCUGGAUCAGCAGAAACCCCUGUGCCGCUUCCUAGAAAAAUAAACAUGGGGAAGAAUAAAGUCAAGAGGGUGAAGACAAUCUACGAUUGCCAAGCAGAUAACGAUGAUGAGCUUACGUUUGUGGAAGGCGAAAUUAUUAUUGUAACCGGAGAGGAGGAUCAGGAGUGGUGGAUCGGCCACAUUGAAGGAAAGCCGGAACGGAAAGGAGUCUUCCCUGUCUCCUUCGUCCACAUUUUAUCAGACUAACUCCAGCCAGAAACUUGAGUAUUGCACAUUGUUCCUGCAAGUCAGGCUUUAAGCACGAAGCAAGACAGCUGCUGCAUCCCUGUAAUUCUGUGCAUAAUUGUGGAUAUUGAUGUAUAUAUAUAUAACUGCUGUUAACAAGGCGAGAACUCGGUCCUGCCCGUACGAAGGGCUCGUCAUACCUGUAAUUGUAUAUAGAAGGUGUUCCUUUGCCAUUGCCAGUAUUAUGGUCAUUGUCGGAGCUGGCAUGCCUUAUUGGGUUGCUCAAGCCAUUCUUGGCAUCAAGCACUUACAAAAAACUGUCCGUGUGUAUGAACUGCCAGCUUUCUAACUAAACUGUUAGUCCCAUUCACUCCCAUUCAGCUGAACAGAAUUUACCGUCCCUAAUAAUACAUCAGUAUUCUCGGAAGCAGAUAGCUAGCAGCAGUUUCUCUUUCCCCCAAAGGAACGGCUGAUGUCCGUCAAUGGCUACCCAACUUGCACCAUUGACAGCUUGUGAAAUCCUCUUCCUUGGUAUUCAUUUAGAAAAUAUAUAUAUAUAUACAUAUAUCUAUGUGUCCGAUGUAUCCAUCCAACAAACAGAAAUAUGCACUAAUGCUACAGGUAAAAAAAAAAACAGUAGAAUUUUUUUAUGGUGGUAGGCCACAUGUUCAUGUUUGUACUCUGUAACUUUGGUCUUUGACCUCACUGGGCUGCCAUCUCAAUGUCUUCAAUAAAAAUGAAUUCAAUCUCA